rnacentral:lncRNA from 1 species
UUGUUCAAAGUGAGAAAAAAGAAGUAAUUUUUUGAAUUGGCCUUUCACCAAAUACUUCAGGUGCAUUCAGAAUUUCAGAAGAACACCCUCUCUAUUGGUGUUUAAAUAUUACGAUCGUUGUUCACCAAAUAGGACCUGAACUUAUUUACUCCAACGUGCACCCUCCCUAUUGGUGUUUAAAUAUUACGAUCGUUGUUCACCAAAUAGGACCUGAACUUAUUUACUCCAACGUGCACCCUCCCUAUUUGUGUGUAAAAAGCAAACAGGGCCCGUGCUUUUGUCAAAUGUCAUUAUUGGGAGAGAUUUUCUCGUAUCACUAAUCCAUCACCUGUCAAUCAUCUAUUAGUGCACUUUUUGAACACAUGACUCUUUAUUGCAUUUAUUGGAUGGUGACGCUAUCAAGAUUAAAUCUUAGUCGCAUAUGAGCAUUUCUCCAUUAUUGACACAAAUGUUUUGUAAAACAGUGGGAAGUCAGUGUUGGUACAAGCAAAGAACACGAGCAAAAUAUUUGGAGACCUCCUCGGGGAAGUGUCAAAGGAAUGCUAGGAACAAAAAGAAAAGCGACAACUGGAAUGGGAGAGGUCUGAGCCAAAAAGACGGCUCUUCAAGUCACCAAUUAAUUGGCUUAACAUAAUUUUCACAUUAAGAUGAGUUUUAGUGUUGUUGGAUUUUUGUCAACAAUUUGUGAUAAUUUAUAUAUGCUAAUAAAUAAUAAAUGCAAUAGGAAUUAACAGAAUAUAAACUAGAAUACGAAUUAUAAAAACAGACAACUUGAAGAUCGAGGCUUGCGUACCGCAAUGUCCUUGAAACAGAAAUUUCGUCCCUACUCUGUGCUUGUAGUUCUACGGACGUCUGCUUCACCAGGAUUCAACGAUCAAAUUAAAAUUCCAGCACCGGAAAAUUUAACUUCUGGCGAAUUUAGUGUGGUUCUCUCAGUAAGAAGGUUUAGGAAUGUAGAAGAUGAAGUUGAUUAUUUUCUGUAUUCUAAAUGUCAUGCAGAUGAAUGUAUAUAUAAUGUGAUUAUACAUGUUCGCAACAGGUAUGAGGAAGGGAUGCAUCUGUUGGGAGACAUCUGCUGAAAAGGGUGUUUUUGUUUCUGCGUUUUCACACUUCAGACUUCAUCUGAAAAGAUGAGUCUGUUGGCAAAAAUAAUUAAUUAAUUUAAAUUCGAAAUUAAAAAUAAUUAAUUAAUUCCGAAAAUAAAUAAAUAAUUUAAUUAUUAGAGCCCAAGGCCCAUCUUUUGACAAUUAAAUAUAUAUUAGUUAUAUAUUAAUUAUAAUUAAUUAUAUAUUAAUUAUCAAUUAAUUAGUACACCCCAAAGCCCAACCCCAAGGGUGAUCCCAAUUUUAGUCUCCAGGCCUAUUACUCCAAUCACUUUCUAUAAAGGAUAAAGCCUUAUAAAGUGAUAAAAUCUUUUGGGAAUGGCCAAUGUGGGACAAAGAAAUUUCUACUCAAACUACUCAAAUUUCCAACAAUACCCCACAUUUGAGUUGAAAUUUCAUUCAAACUCCAACAAUUACCCCACAUUUGAAUGCAAAUGUAAAUGCAAAUGGAUGACUAUGUUGCCUAAAACUGAAAGAGAAUAGGCAUGAUAUGCAUCGGGUGAAGUGUCUUUUGGGCUUGAACUUACCGUAGUGAAAACAUAUCGAGUUUACUUGGUGACGCAGUGGAUGUGGAAGAUCUUGAACUGUUCACCGCAGUAGUAAACCGAGACAAUAUGCUACACACAUAUCAUGUCUGCCACACGUCAAUUAAUACGGUUGUAUUCAUUUCGGCCCUGAACAGAUCCCGGAUUUCGUAGGAGCUUUAGAGAAUUUAGCCAUUUCAAUUCUCAUAAAUGCAGCCCCAUUUGCUCCUAUAUAGGUGACAUUAAUUAAGAAUAAUCUGCCAUAUUCCUCUUGAUAACAAGAUAUUAAUGUCAUUAAAUGUAUAAAACAUAACCCCUCAAACUUCAACAGACAACACACAUUUUAUCAUAAGAAUGGGUAAGUUGUGUGUUUAACUUUUGAAUCAAACUCAACCAGUUUGCCUAUUGAACCUAGACCAUGGGAUCUCCAAUCAGCUAGGUUAGGUUUCCGCCCAGUUCGAUUCAUUGAAUUGGCUUAAGACCCAUUCCCCUCGAUGUAAAUAAUAUUUGCUCUCUUGGUAGGCCUUUUGUCAAAGGAUCAACUAUAUUUUCCUUUGACUUUACAUAAUCAAUGGAUAUUGUUCCAUUGGAGAGCAACUUCUUAAGAGUAUUAUGCCGACGCCUAAUGUGUCGCGACUUGCCAUUGUAUACAUGACUUUUGGUCCUUGAUUGUGCGGCCAUACUGUCACAAUGUAUACAUAUAGCAGUUACGGGCUUUGGCCAUACUGGAAUAUCCUCCAAAAAAUGUUUGAGCCACUCGGCUUCUUCGCCAGCCAAGUCUAAAGCUAUAAACUCAGACUCCAUUGUGGAACGAGCUAUACAUUUCUGUUUAGAGGAUUUCCAAGAUAUUGCUGCACCUCCCAAAGUAAAAACAUAUCCACUUGUCGACUUAGAUUCUGUAGUGUCAGAAAUCCAAUUGGCAUCACUGAAGCCUUCGACAACAGGUGGAUACUUUGUGUAGUGUAAUCCGCAGUCAAGUGUAUUUUUCAAAUACCUUAACACUCUUACUAAAGCAUCUCAAUGCUCUUGUGCCGAAUUACUUGUAUCUACUAAGCCUACUUACUACAUAAGCUAAGUCGGGCCUUGUGAAAUCCCAUUAUUGGAUUUCACUGUUAUAAUCUACGUAAUUGUAUUAUUGAGAUUUAUAUUAUUUUUCGAGAAUUUAUAUUAAUUUACUUGAAAUUAGAUUUCAAUUAAACUAGUUACGAAGAGUGAAGUUUGGAAAAUUACUAUUUACUCGUUGACAUUUCGAGGUCACAAGUAACGUUUUCGAAUAGGUUUCGAAGUCACGAACGUAUAGGCGAAAGCCGUUUGCGAGUCCGGAUUAUAACGGUAUAGUUACGUAUGUUUGAAGUUGUGUGUGGGAGUGAUUUUCCAAUUUUACCCUCAAUUUGACAGCAAAAUGGAUGGAAUUAAUGGUAAGGAUAACAUUGAUGCAUGCCAUAUAGAAUAGGGAGGAUAUCGAUUGAAUAAAAAGAAUAGGGACUAAAAUCAGGAGUUUGGAAUAGUACAGGGACAAUUGGUGAUAAAAAGGCCGGAAGUUAUUUUAUCAAGAGGGGUUUUUUAUGCAUUUCAUCUUGGCUUACUGAUGAAGGUUUUCUACAUGAAUAGAACAUGGCUUGAGAUGGCAGCAGGAAAUCCAUUCGGAAAGGUAAGAAAGGAAAAGGAAGGGGGGAAAGACUUUUCUUGGGGGGGAGUCUCCUUCUCGUCUGACACUUUCCCCCAAGCUACACUACAUCGAUUCUCUAUCUUUGUCUCUCUCUCUCUCCCUCCGAUUCAUCACUGUUUUUUUUAUAUAUGCCGCGAUCAAAGAAGUCAGAGCCGCAGAUUCGACGGCCGCCAAGUAUCUGGAGAUCCCUCUACUUCUUGAAUAUUCAACUUCUUCAGGUAUUUCGGCCAACUCUCCUCCCUUUGGCUUUGAUCUAAUUUUCUGUUGUUUCCCAAGAAAAUGAUGGGACUGAAAAGAAUAAAGUUUUACUCCCUUUUGGGAUUUUUGAAAGGAAAAGUGGAAUUUCAGUUCAAAUUAAGAGGUAUAUUAAUCUUUUGAUUUCUUUUGGGAAUUUCAAAAAUAGAAAAUGUGUAAUUGUGCGACUGUUUAUAAAUAUAUGAUACCGUUUAAGAUUAGAGUAAUUAAUUACUGUUGGUUGAAUUUAAUGGGUGACUGUUGGAAUGCUGUUAUGGGUAAUGUAUUACUGUUUCUUGCAGAACUGACUAAUUUUACUAGUUACAAUGAAUUGUUGGGAAAAUUUUCUGCCUUCCGAUAAACUGAACGUCUUACGGAAGCCUUAUGGACCUUGGUUUAACGGAAUUUGGGUUAUCGAAAUUUGGUUUAUAUUAACGUUCUAUUGAUGUUGUGAAUUUGAACAAGAGGAAAAGCUUUGACCUUGUACGAUCACCAGCAAUUCUGUGUUUCUUGGUAUUUGGUACUGAAUCAAUGUGAAAUCCCGUUCCUGGAUUUCACUGUUAUAAUCUACGUAUUUGUAUUAUUGAGAUUUUAUAUUAUUUUUUUAGAAUUUAUUUUAAUUUGUUUGAAUUAAGAUUUUAAUUAAAUUAAUUACGAAGUUUGAAGUUUGGAGAUUAAUUAUUUAAAAUCCGUGGACCUUUCGAGGUCACAAUUUAUAUCGUUGAAUAGAUUUUGAGAUCACGAAUGUAUAGGUGAAAGCCGCUUGCGAGUCCGAGUUUUAACGGUAUAGUUACGGAUAUUUGAAGUUGUGUUACUAAUCUAUAUGUUUUAAUUUAUUUUAAAACUCCCACAUAGUGGGAGAGGGACCAGGGAGAAAGGGGAAUAAAAGGGAUCGGACAGAAAAAAGAAAGGGGGAGGAGGGUCUAAUUUUGACCCGUUUUUGGUCAUUUUCGACCAUUUUGACCCAUAAACUUGACCCGCUCAUAUCUUCUUCAUCCGAGCUCCGUUUUGGGUGAUCUUGGUGUCCAUGGAAAGCUCUUGAAAAGCCCUACGACCCUAUGGUGUUAGAUUUCCCAUUUUCUGAUCCACGUUUCCAGUUCGAGGCAGCAAAGUCCCGUGGGUUUUCCGGCGAUUGUGUCAUUUUUCCGGUGAUUCCGGCAACCAUUUCCUUCGAGUGAGGUAUUAAACUUCAUCUACUCUUCAUAAUCUCCAUGUUGGUAUGCUUGGUUUGUGCUUUCGUAUUCAUUUUAGAGUUGGGUGUUUAAAACCCUAGAAACCCGGUUUUCCCCGAGGAAUUUGGAUGGUUUCCGGUUAGAAUUUGUUGUUGGCCUAGUUGUGAAUAAUGUUUCCCUUGUUGAGAUCUUCAUUCUUGUAAAUUAUGAGAAUUUUUGGAAAAAGUCCAAUUUUUCGAUGUGUGGCAUUCGAUUUAUGAAAUGUUGUUGGUUGAGUAUAUUUAGAUAGGUCCACCACUUGGAUAUUCUAACAGUUGAAGAUACUUUAAAUUCUUAUAUUUAUAUCAUUGUGAAUAUGGCUUGGUGUUAUAAAUGUGAUUUCUAUUGAAAUGUGAUUUUAUAUAUUUAGCCGUAGUCAUAUGCUUAUUAGCAUGAUUUGGAUUGUGUAUUGAUGAUGGUUGUGAUAUAUGUGAGUUUAAUUAUCCUUUUAGUAAUGUGAAUGAUGAGUAUGAUUAUUUUCAUGACAAUUGUAGAUAUUGUUUAAGGACCUUAGGGACUUACUAGUGAAAAUCUAGUGGUUGGAUCUUACGGAGCAAGUGAUGUAAGAUCAUGGACCAUAUCUUUGAUCGACGAUCUAAUUCUCAUUAAAUGUCGUUGUGAGAGACUUAUGAGAGUUUUGAGUAUGUGAAUUUAUCGAGAGAAAUCUAAAUGUGGAGUUGUGCUUGUUUUAGGCGGUGAUAGAGCUUGACGCCUUGAAUUCCAUGCUAUAAUGUGUUAGUGUGGACCUAAUAUGAGUGAUUUUAAUCUGUGUGAUAUGGUUAUUACUUUGAAAUCUUCCGUGCUAAUAUACUUUGUGGUUACAUCAUAGAUUCUUAAAAUAGGUCUUAUGCUAAAUAAUUGUUGUUAUCAAGUUUGCCAUCUUAUGCUAAAUAAUUGUUGUUAUCAAGUUUGCCAUCGAUCUACUUAUGAAACAUUAUGUGACUUGGAUAUUUGAACUAUUGAUGGAUUGUGUUUCGAUAUAUGUAUUUGAUGGUUUGAUAAAUAUGAGGAAUUGUAAAGGAUCGUUACCUUAGUGUCAUGGGGUUAGGUGACACUCAGUCUCUCUAGCUCUAGUUUUGAGUGUAUCCGUGAAUUUUGGCUUCGAGAACCUUGAGUUUGAUUUAGAAAAGCCGUUGGAUGUCUGUGUGACUCAUUCGGAAUUUGCAAAGGUUUGGUAUUAAUUUCUUAUGAAUAAUUUAUAUUCAAAGUUUAUAAACCGUGAUUGAUGGUUGGUUUUAUCAUUAUUAUCACAUACUUUGUAUUAUUGUUGCUCACACGAGCUUCGUAGCUUAUCCGGGUUGUUGUUUGCCCGAUGCACCAUUUCCAUGAUGUAGGCACUCAUUUCACAUGCGACAGGUCUGGGUAAAUUAUGAGAAACUAUUUGAUAUUUUGGUUCCGUUGAGUAGUCCGGAACCCGAUAUUGUUGGAUUACGUUGAGUGGUUCGAAAUCCUUGCUCUUGCUGAUUUCCAUAGUGUUAUCUUAGAAUCCUAGAUUCGAGUGAAUGGAAAUUACCCACAAUGGAUCUUGUGAAUACAAAUUAGAAUUACCAUGUUAUUAUUCAUAACUCAAUUAGGGAAUUAUGUAGAGUUCUUUGAUUAAACUCGUGAAAUGAUGUGCUAUCUCACUGAUUGAUUAACGUAAUUAAAUAUUAAUAUUGUGCUUCGUGAUUCCCUGAUAUGUUACAAGCUAUGGAUAGAGAUAUAUUGUUGGAAGCAUAGGGAUUGGUAUGAUGUGGUGAAAUGUGAUUUGACGUGUGAAUUGGAAAUGGUUGUGUCAUGUAAUGGAAAUGCCUAUUGAAUUGCUUGGGAGAUGUGAGAUCUAGUAAUGGAUCGAUAACCUAUUGUGAUGGGGAUUUGUUGCUCAAUAUUAGUUCGUUUUGUUGAGUCUUCGUGAUUUGAGUAAAUUGAAUCCUAUCUUGUUCCUUCGAGCCGUAGUUAUGCUUCUUGGACUUCCGUUCGGUUCUGUUGAAUGGUUCGGAACUAAGUUCUGUUUGGAUUCCGUUGAGUGAUGUUCCGGAAUCCCUUCUAUUCUGUAUUCUGAGAUUCCGUUGAGUGAUGUUCCGGAAUCCCUUCUAUUCUGUAUUCUGUGAUUCCGUUGAGUGAUGGUCCGGAAUCAUAUGCUUGUUUGGAUUCCGUUGAGUGAUGGUCCAGAAUCCCCUUUGUUGCCUUGGCUCUGGUAUAUGGUUCGGAUUCUGUUGAGUAAUGGUCUGGAAUCCCCUUUUGUAUCUUGGUUUCGUUGAGAGGUCUGAAAUCCCUAUUUCAGAGUAGUAGGCUAGGCCUAAGGGUAUCACUCUAGCCUUAGUUUUAUAUAUAUUUGUGACAAUGGUUUGAGAAUCCUGUGAAUUGAGUUAGAAAAGAUGUUGAACGUCUGGCUGACUCCUUCGGGAUUCUCUACGAUUCGAUUAUGAUUUUAUCAAGUAUGAAUUUAGAAAAUAUGGGAAUGAUUGAUAUUAUUUUGAUCAGAUUAAUUAUUUCAUGUGGCUAGAGAAUGGUUAUGUGCUUCAUCGGUUAUUAAAUAUAACGUAUGUUGUGAAUAGCUAUGUGAUGAGACAUAAUGAAUUAUAUGUUGGAUGAAAGUGAAAUCAUGAUUUUCAUGGGGGUUUGUUAUGUAGCAUGAGUCCAAGAAUUCCAUGUUGUCGGGUUAUAGUAAAUGAUGGAGGAAUGCUAUACUUUUAUGCUUGAUUGAGUGUGAUAAAUAUUUGUUUUUGUGAGUGUUGAACUACGAAUGGCUUGAUCCCUAUUGAGGGUACGUAGGCAGUCUAACGAAGAGGUUGGAUGCAACCAUAAAUUGUACGAAAAAUGCUAUGAAAUUUGAAUCUUAAUUUAUGCUUUGUACAUAUCUCGGUGGCGAGGUAUGUUAGAUAUACGGGUACUUAGUGACGUCACAUGUCGAUCCUGGACGUAUGUCGGGAUUGGGGCGUGACAAUCAAACCAAUUUAUCUCUUUCUAAAGCUUUCGAACGUCUUUCAAGACUAUGGUUUUAAUGAGUUUUGUGCUCGCGAUUAUGCGUAUGUGCAGAUAUCUAGUUUUGAUCUUCUUCCAGAUGUUGGUAGCAUAUAUUGUCACAUUGUUAAUAUUAUGAUUAUUUUUAAUUGAUCAAUGUGGUUUGAGAAUAUUAUGUGCUUCGUUGGUUAUUCAUUAUGUUACAUGCUGUGGAUGGAAGUAUCGUGUUGAAAAUAUGGAAUUUAUAUGAUGGAUGGAAUGAGAACUUUGAACGGUAUGUUGGUUUGUUUUGUAGCCGGAACUUGGUAAUGUCAUGCAAGUCAAGUUCUAAUAAUUGAUUACAAAAUGCUAUGUAUUCCUGUUAGAUUGCAUUGGAAUAAUUAUCUAAAUUAGUGAACAAUGAACUACGAAUGGUUUGAUCCCUGUUUAGGGUACGUAGGCAGUCUAACGAGGAGGUUAGAUGCAGCCAUAAAGCUUAUGAAAAAUUAUUAUGCAACUUGUACCUUGAAUUAUGCUAUGUAUAUAUUCUGAAGGCGGGGUAUAUUCGAGAUAUAGGUAUUUGAUGACGUCACAUGUCGAUCCUGGACGUACGUCGGGAUCGGGACGUGACAAUUUUAAUGGUAUCAGAGCUUAGGGAUUAGGUCCUCGUACCUUUACCUUAGUGUUGGAACAAUUUUGGGUAAUGUCAUUUGUAACUCUGACGGGACGCUACUUAUGGGUUUGAUCUUGUUGGUUUAGAGUCUUGUGUUGCUUAUAUGACCUUGCUCUUGAGUGGUAUCGAUGUUUUGAGCUCAUGUAUUGUGCUAAUUUAUUCUGAGGCAGAGUAUUAGUCGAUGAAUGUUGAUAGUACAUUGAAUAAGUGGUUCGGUUAAUUUUUAUUUAAUCCCAGAAAAUGUGGUGUGAAAUUCACAUGCAUCAUUAUUACUUCAAAUGGUAGUUAGAAUGCCUUUCAUUUAAAUCAUGGUUAUGGAUGAUUGUGAAAUGGUUGUGUUCGUAUGAUGGAAUGGGAGAAGAAAAUUUUUAAAAUAUCAUAUUUCAUGUUAUAGCUUCAAAGAUGAGUGUUUGACUAAAGUCUCGAAUUAAUCUUGAAUUGGGUUGAUAUUAUGUUAUGCGGUAUUAAAAUUUUGAAUGUUAUGAUGAUUGUGCAAUUGUGAAAAGUAGAUAAAAAGGUCGUACUAUAUAUGUGCAAUUGAGAAAUGUUGUAUUGGGCGGUCAAGGCCCGUGGAUGUUAAUUCGGGCGAAUGGGCCCAUGGAAUGUGAGAAAUGGAUAAGUGGGCUCAAAGACCCAAUGUUUCUGGGGAGAAGCUCCAUGUGUGGGCUGUGAGAAUAAAUUAUCGAAGUGAUAAAUAUGUGUGAUGUGUAUUGUCCAGGUGUAUUAUAAUCUUUUCCAGAUUACUAGUUACUUAUGUGGAUAAAGAAGAAAGAUGAUGAAAUCGUUGUGUUGCCAAUGAUGAUUAUGGCUUGAAAUUUUCAAAUCUUAUGGCCAUGAUAAUUAUGGUUGGAAAUUAUUGUUUAUGAAAUUCAUGAUGAUUUUAUGAGCGGGAAUGAAUCACAACCCGAGGUUAUGAUUGGUUUAAGAUAUAGUAGUGAGUAAUUGUGAUUUGGAAUUCCAAAGAAUUUGGCUGGAAUCUCUGAUAUUUGAUUUGUCAAUUCUAAUGGUGUGGCUUGAAAAUCUAGUAUUUAUUUAGUCGAAGCGGAUUGCGGCUUGAUGUUUGAUAAUUAUUUUGCCAAUGUGUAUGGCUAGAAUUCCUCAUAAUUUUUCUGCCAAUAAAUGUUGCUGGGGAUCUAAGUAUAUGGGUGAGAAUCACGAUGAUUUUCGUUAAUUUAUUUAUUUUGAGCUUGAAUAAACUCAUAGACUGAGGUUAUGACUUUAUUCACUAUAAAUGGAAUGAUGGAGAAAGUUUGUGAUUACAAAUUUGGUUGGUUUGGUUGCCAGAAUCAUGAGUAUAUUGAUGAAUUCUUAUUAAAUGUGGCUUUCUUUGUGCUUGUACCAAGAUUUGGUGUUGAGAUCGUCUUGAAACGAGGAUAAUUGAAAUUGUGAGUUGUGGUUCGAUGUUGUCGAACUUGAUGAUAGUCAAAUUUAAGUAUAUUGAAAGUGUGAAUGUCAUUCUGGCAUCGUUAUCUAUUAAAUGUGGCAUUGGUGAAUAUGGAAUUGAUACUGAAAUUUCGAGGACGAAAUUUUUUUUAGGGGGGGAAAAUGUGAAAUCCCAUUAUUGAAUUUCACUGUUAUAAUCUACGUAAUUGUAUUAUUGAGAUUUAUAUUAUUUUUCGAGAAUUUAUAUUAAUUUACUUGAAAUUAGAUUUCAAUUAAACUAGUUACGAAGAGUGAAGUUUGGAAAAUUACUAUUUACUCGUUGACCUUUCGAGGUCACAAGCAACGUUUUUGAAUAGGUUUCGAAGUCACGAACGUGUAGGCGAAAGCCGUUUGCGAGUCCGGAUUAUAACGGUAUAGUUACGUAUGUUUGAAGUUGUAUGUGGGAGUGAUUUUCCAAUUUUACCCUUAAUUUGACAGCAAAAUGGAUGGAAUUAAUGGUAAGGAUAACAUUGAUGCAUGCCAUAUAGAAUAGGGAGGAUAUCGAUUGAAUAAAAAGAAUAGGGACUAAAAUCAGGAGUUUGGAAUAGUACAGGGACAAUUGGUGAUAAAAAGGCCGGAAGUUAUUUUAUCAAGAGGGGUUUUUUAUGCAUUUCAUCUUGGCUUACUGAUGAAGGUUUUCUACAUGAAUAGAACAUGGCUCGAGAUGGCAGCAGGAAAUCCAUUCGGAAAGGUAAGAAAGGAAAAGGAAGGGGGGAAAGACUUUUCUUGGGGGGGGAGUCUCCUCCUUUCGUCUGACUGACACUUUCCCCCAAGCUACACUACAUCGAUUCUCUAUCUUUGUCUCUCUCUCUCUCUCCUCUCCGAUUCAUCACUGUUUUUUUUAUAUAUGCCGCGAUCAAAGAAGUCAGAGCCGCAGAUUCGACGGCCGCCAAGUAUCUGGAGAUCCCUCUACUUCUUGAAUAUUCAACUUCUUCAGGUAUUUCGGCCAACUCUCCUCCCUUGGCUUUGAUCUAAUUUUCUGUUGUUUCCCAAGAAAAUGAUGGGAUUGAAAAGAAUAAAGUUUUACUCCCUUUUGGGAUUUUUGAAAGGAAAAGUGGAAUUUCAGUUCAAAUUAAGAGGUAUAUUAAUCUUUUGAUUUCUUUUGGGAAUUUCAAAAAUAGAAAAUGUGUAAUUGUGCGACUGUUUAUAAAUAUAUGAUACCGUUUAAGAUUAGAGUAAUUAAUUACUGUUGGUUAAAUUUAAUAGGUGACUGUUGGAAUGCUGUUAUGGGUAAUGUAUUACUGUUUCUUGCAGAACUGACUAAUUUUACUAGUUACAAUGAAUUGUUGGGAAAUUUUUCUGCCUUCCGAUAAACUGAACGUCUUACGGAAGCCUUGUGGACCUUGGUUUAACGGAAUUUGGGUUAUCGAAAUUUGGUUUAUAUUAACGUUCUAUUGAUGUUAUGAAUUUGAACAAGAGGAAAAGCUUUGACCUUGUACGAUCACCAGCAAUUAUGUGCUUCUUGAUAUUUGGUACUGAAUCAAACCAACUUAUCUCUUUCUAAAGCUUUCGAACGUCUUUCAAGACUAUGGUUUUAAUGAGUUUUGUGCUCGUGAUGCGUAUUAUGUGUAUAUAUGUGCUAGUUUUGAUCUUCUUCCAGAUGUUGGUAGCAUAUAUUGUCACAUUGUUAAUUAGGGUGAUUAUAAUUGAUCAACAGUUCCAAUUCACAAUCCGUCCGUCCGUGCGUGCGUGCGUGCGUGCGUGCGUGCGUUAGCGUUGCGUGCUUAGUUAUGACCAUUUGAUCCUAGAAUCCUAUUAGAAGUAUUCUGCAGAAUUUAUAUGCUUCCAUGGUAUGUUUGUUGGUGGCCUUGAGAAAUUGUUGGUGUAGGUGAUUACGUUGUAACCCAUAGGGGUUAAGUGAUGGGUAAGUUGGGUGUGUUGAAUUUUCUGCACUAUGUAGUUGUACAUUGAGUGGUCCUGCUUGGUAUAUCUGCGUUGGGGGACCAUAUGCAUUCUAGAAGUGAGGAGGAUUAGUUGUACUUGGUACAUUUGAUGGGGGAAUCAUAUGCUUAUUCGGAUUCCGUUGAGUGAUGGUCCGGAAUCCAUUCUAUUAUGCGAUUCCGUUGAGUGAUGGUCCGGAAUCGUAUCUAGCUUGUAUUCAUUCGGUCAUCGAUGGAGUGGUUUUCGUAUUUCAUAUGGUUUACUAUCGAGAUUCCGUUGAGUGAUGGUCCGGAAUCCCUUCUACACCACGAUUCCGUUGAGUGAUGGUCCGGAAUCGUAUCCUGGUCUGGAUUCCGUUGAGUGGUCCGGAAUCCCUUUGGUGUCUUGGUCCCUUGGAUUUGUUUUCAGCUUCAAGGAUGUAGGUUUCGGCCGAAUUGCGUUCCUCUAACCUAGUGGUCAAUGUACAUAUGAACGAUGGAUUUUGAGAAUCUUGUGGUUUGAAUUAGAAAAGUCGUUGGAUGUUUGGGUGACUCCUUCGGAGUUAUUGAGACUUGGCUAUGUAUUCAUAUUUAUGAACUUAUAUUUGAGACUUGUAACUGCGCUCGAUGGAAUUGAUUUUACAUACAACAGGUAUGGAUAGAUUGCAAGAAACCGAUUGACAUGGUGGUUCCGUUGAGUGGUCCGGAACCCGAUUUGGUUGGAUUCCAUUGAGUGGUCCGGAAUCCUUACUCUUGCAUAUUUUCAAAGGGUUAGUCCAGAACCCUAGAUUCAAGUGAAUGAGGAUUAUCCACAUUAGACCUUGUGAAUAUAAAAUAGAUUUACCAUGUUAUUGCUCAUAAUCCAAGAAGGGUAUUAUACAGAGUUCCCUGGGUUAAAUUGUGAAAUGAUAUGUUUCUACAUGCGUUGAUUAACAUAAUUAAAUGCUAAGAUCAUAUAUCUUUAAUUCAUGAAUUGAUUGAUUGACGGGAUUGUGGAAUGAACUUGGUUUUAGUUGUUAAUAUUAUGAUUAUUUUAAUUGAUCAAUGUGGUUUGAGAAUAUUAUGUGCUUCGUUGGUUAUUCAUUAUGUUGCAUGUUGUGGAUGGAAGUAUCGUGUUGAAAAUAUGGAAUUUAUAUGAUGGAUGGAAUGAGAAAUUUGAACGGUAUGUUGGUUUGUUUUGUAGCCGGAACUUGGUAAUGUCAUGCAAGUCAAGUUCUAAUAAUUGAUUAUAGAAUGCUAUGUAUUCCUGUUAGAUUGCAUUGGAAUAAUUGUCUAAAUUAGUGAACAAUGAACUACGAAUGGCUUGAUCCCUGUUUAGGGUACGUAGGCAGUCUAAUGAGGAGGUUAGAUGCAGCCAUAAAGCUUAUGAAAAAUUAUUAUGCAACUUGUACCUUGAAUUAUGCUAUGUAUAUAUUCUGAAGGCGGGGUAUAUUCGAGAUAUAGGUAUUUGAUGACGUCACAUGUCGAUCCUGGACGUACGUCGGGAUCGGGACGUGACAGGCCUAGUUGAAUUCAUCAAGUACAUUAGACUUCCAAUUACUUGAGAAUAUUCAAGUUGAGAUAUGACAUCGCCUUUAUUUUUCUCUAACUUGCAUCCAGCAUCAAAAAGAGUUGCAGCAGGUUUGCAGUCAAAUUGACCAAACCUUCGUAAUAUUUUUUCUGCAUAAUGGGAUUGUGUAAGGACAUAUCCUUCACUAUUUCUCUUAAUUUGAAUUCUUAAAAUGACAUCGGCUUGACCUAAGUCUUUCAUGUCAAAACUAGAAUUCAACAUUUUCUUUGUUUUGUUUAUUACAUCUUUAUUGCUUCCCAUUAUGAGCAUAUCAUCCACAUAUAAGCAAACAAUAACACAAGUUUUAUCAUUACUCUUAAUGUAGACACAUUUAUCAGAUUCAUUUAUUUUGAACCCAUGUGUCAACAAAGUAUGAUCAAAAUUCUCGUGUCAUUGUUUUGGUGCUUGUUUAAGUCCAUAUAAUGACUUAACUAAUUUGCACACUUUGCUUUCUUGUCCUUUAAGCAAGAACCCUUCAGAUUGUUCCAUGUAUAUUUCUUCAUCUAGUUCUCCAUUUAAAAAUGUUGUUUUUACAUCCAUUUGAUGUAUAUCAAAGUUGUAUACAGCCGCAAUCGUUAUUAACGUCCUAAUUGACGUCAUGCGAGAAACUGGAGAAUAGGUGUCGAAAUAAUCCAACCCUUCUUUUUGGCGAUAACCUUUGGCUACUAAACGUGCCUUGAACUUAUUAAUGGUUCCAUUUAUGACCAAUUGGUUUACUACCGGGAGGUAAAUCAACCAAUUCCCAUGUGUUAUUUUCCAUAAUGGAUUCCAUUUCACUUUUAAUUGCUUCCUUCCAUAAAGGAGCCUCAGAAGAAGACAUUGCUUCUUUAAAAGUUCUAGGUUCAUUCUCGGACAAGAAAGCAAUGAAAUCUGGUCCAAAGUUUUUAGAAACUUUGAUUCUUUUUCCUCUUCUUGGUUCCACAUCAUUUCCUUGGAUACCAGAAGAAGAGGCUUCAUCAUGACUAUGAUCAUGAACCCUCUUUGUAUUAGAACCAGAUUCCUUAUCUUUGUAAGGAAAUAUAUCCUCAAAGAAUUUUGCAUCCGCUGAUUCUAAUAAAGUGUUGACAUGUAUGUCAGAAAUCGAAGAUUUUACAACAAGGAACCUAUAAGCAGCACUAUUAUUUGCACAUCCAAUGAAUACACAAUCAAUAGUUUUAGGUCCUAGUUUCGUUCUUUUUGGUAAAGGAACUUGCACCUUUGCUAAGCAACCCCACACUUUGAGGGUUUUAUAAGUGGGUUUAUGUCCUUUCCAUAGUUCAUAAGGUGACUCGUCAAUCUUCUUUAGAGGAACCUUAUUCAAUAUGGUAUUUGCAGUAAGUAAAGCUUCACCCCACAAACUGUGUGGAAGCCUGAACUAUUUAACAUGGAAUUAAUCAUAUCCUUGAAUGUUCUAUUUUUUCUUUUGGCAACACCAUUUUGUUGUGGUGUGUAUGGAGCCGUUGUUUGAUGUAUAAUUCCAUGUUGUGCACAAAAAUCUGAGAAGGCAGUAGACUCAUACUCUCCUCCUCUAUCAAAUCUAAGUGCUUUGAUUUUUCUCUCAAGUUGAUUUUCAACUUCGGCUUUAUAUGUCUUAAACAUAUUCAAAGCUUCGUCCUUGCUAUGAAUCAAAUAAACAUAGCAAUAUUUACUGCAAUCAUCAAUAAAAAUGACAUAAUAAUUCUUUCCUCCACGAGUUGGUGUGGAUUUAAAAUCACAAAGAUCACUAUGAAUUAAUCCAAGUAAUUCAUUUGAUCUUUCCAGAAUUGACUUUCUCGUUUGCUUAGCAAAUUUCGAUUCAGUACAUGUUUCACACUUAUGAUUAAAAUCAAUUUCGAAUUUCGGUAAUAAGUCUAAUUCAACCAUUCUAUGCAUGGAACGAAAAUUAACAUGUCCUAAUCUAGCAUGCCAAAUAUUAGAAGACUCAACAAUAUAAGUAGAAGCAUUUAUUUUAUUAACAUCAUCAAUGGCAAUUACAUUGAGUUUCACGAGGCCAUCAGCCACAUAGCCUUUUCCAACAAACAUCCCACCCUUGGUAAGUACAAAUUUGUUGGAUUCCAUUACAAGUUUAAAGCCCUUAGCAAUCAGAAUAGGUCCAGAAACCAAGUUCAUCCUUAUUUCAGGAACAUGCAACACAUUCAGCAAGGUGAGACUCUUUCCAGAUGUGAAUUUGAGUACCACUUUGCCUUUGCCCUCCACUGCAGAUGAGGCAGAAUUGCCCAUAUACAGUUUUUCUCCAUGGGCAGCAGGAUGGUAUUCAGUGAAUAGAUUUUUGUCAGCGCAGAUGUGCUUAGUAGCACCAGUAUCCAACAGCCAUUCACUGACAUUUGAGACCAUGUUGACCUCGGACACAACAGCAGCCAAUUCUCCAUUGGUGGUUGCCAUGUUAGCAUGGUUAUUGUUGUUUCCGUUGGCAUGAUUUACAUCCUUGCGAUGAUAACAAUCUUGUGCCUUGUGACCAGAUUUGCCACACACAUAGCAUGCGCCCUUAAUCUUCUUCAGAUUCUUGCCUUUGGGAGCAAGGGCAGAUUGUACAAACUGCUUGGUUUUAGGAGCCUUAUUCUUCUUCGGCUUGGCCUUGGAGUUUCCUCCCUCAACAUAAUUUGCAUUGGCUUCAAUGGAAGCAAACCCUCCAAAACGGUCUGCCUUUCUGUGGUCUUCUUCCACUCGUAGCCUCAGGAUCAAAUCCUCCAUAUUCAUCUCACGACGCUUGUGCUUGAGAUAAAUUUUGAAGUCAUUCCACGAAGUUGGCAAUUUUUCAAUUAUUGCCCCAACUUGGAAAUGCUCAUUGAUCUCGCAUCCCUCGGAGUGCAGUUCAUAGAUCAAUUUCUGGAUUUCUUCGACCUGAGACAAAAACAGAUUUGGAAUCCACCAUUGUAUAUUUGAGAAACUUACCGAUAACAAAUUUCUUUGAACUGGCAUCAUCAAUCUUAUACUUUUUCUCGAGGGAUUCCCAUAACUCCUUCGCUGUCUUGCACAUAGAAUAAAUGUCGUAGAGAUUGUCAUCCAAACUAUUCAGAAUAUAAUUUCUGCAACAAAACUCGGAACGAUUCCAAGCUUCGAUUGCCAUGACAGUCUCUUUCUUCAUUGGAUUCUCAUUAGACUUCGAAGCUUCUUCCUUGACAACAUGAGCGAGAUUCAUUGUUGUCAGGAAGAACAACAUCUUCUGUUGCCAUCUCUUGAAGUCCAGCCCUUUGAACUUCUCAGGUUUUUCAGAUUAUUUUGGCACAGCGCCAUUCACAUUUACAGAUUGUUGAUCCAUAAAUUUCUAUUUCAAGAUUGUUGGAUUUUGUCAACAAUCUGUGAUAAUUUAUAUAUGCUAAUAAAUAAUAAAUGCAAUAGGAAUUAACAGAAUAUAAACUAGAAUACGAAUUAUAAAAACAGACAACUUGAAGAUCGAGGCUUGCGUACAGUAAUGUCCUUGAAACAGAAAUUUCGUCCCUACUAUGUGCUUGUAGUUCUACGGACGUCUGCUUCACCAAGAUUCAACGAUCAAGUUAAAAUUCCAGCACCGGAAAAUUUAACUUCUGGCGAAUUUAGUGUGAUUCUCUCAGUAAGAAGGUUUAGGAAUGUAGAAGAUGAAGUUGAUUAUUUUCUGUAUUCUAAAUGUCAUGCAGAUAGAUGUAUAUAUAAUGUGAUUAUAUUUGUUCGCAACAGGUAUGAGGAAGGGAUGCAUCUGUUAGGAGACAUCUGCUGAAAAUGGUGUUUUUGUUUCUGCGUUUUCACACUUCAGACUUCAUCUGAAAAGAUGAGUCUGUUGGCAAAAAUAAUUAAUUAAUUUAAAUUCGAAAUUAAAAAUAAUUAAUUAAUUCCGAAAAUAAAUAAUUAAUUUAAUUAUUAGAGUCCAAGGCCCAUCUUUUGACAAUUAAUUAUAUUUUAAUUAUAAUUAAUUAUAUAUUAAUUAGUACACCCCAAAGCCCAACUCCAAGGGUGAGCCCAAUUUUAGUCUUCAGGCCUAUUACUCCAAUCACUUUCUAUAAAGGACAAAACCUUAUAAAGUGAUAAAAUCUUUUGGGAAUGGCCAAUGUGGGACAAAGAAAUUUCCACUCAAACUACUCAAAUUUCCAACAAGUGUUUCCUGAAUAACAAUGGCCGGCACUUCCUCAAGACCAAAGACUACCUUGCAUUUUAUUUCACAAGCUCUGAAGUAUUAUUCAAAUCACCCCAUGAUGUUCACUUAUGAGCAGAUUGGGAUGAGAGAAUAUACAAGUAGAUAUCUCAUGAAUGUCGACGAUUUUGCUGACUAGCCGAACGACUGCGAGUUUCAAGGUUUGAAGUUCUUCUCCUUCAAACUUUCACAAGAAAUAUGUUGAAUAUUUCAUUACUUUAUUCAUCCUCUAGGGUUUACAAUAUAUAGGUACAAGACUUAAUUCUACAAGGAGAGUAAUUAUAAAAGAUGUUGGAUCCCUGACCACAAUGCAAAACAAAAUCAACUGCUUGCAUCCCAAGGAAUAUUAUUUAAACACAAAGGGGUGAAGUGGACCACUUAUGAGAUUACGAAGAAGCUCGACAGGGAGAUUAAGAGUUCAGUUGGCUAUAAGAGUGGACCAAUCGCAAUCCCUGGAUUCAUUGACGCCAAGUCAAUCCCAUUUCCUUCAGCAAAUUUUCAGGCAGCCUCCUCAGCUAAAGUUUUUGAGAGAGGAUACCAUCGCUGAACAAAUGAAGAAGGAAGUGCAUAUGAGUUUUUAGUUCAUCAUCAUGUACUGCUUCGUAUUGUGUUAAGCUUACCGCUAUGUCCAAUAUUUUUCAGUAGUAUGGGAAGUUGGGAAUAUACAUACCUUGUUCUUCUAACAAAAAAGUGGAUCCGAGUACCAAGUUUCAUCCAAAACCACAUCAGAUGCCAGAGGGGUUCCAGUCCCCUUUACUGAAGCAAUAGAUGAUGUUAAAACCACUCUCUUGACAGAGGGGAAUUUUGCGCACGAUUCAAGAACAUUGAGUGUUCCUUUCACUGCAGGCUCAACUAUUUCUGCCUGCAAUAUGGAGAGAACUGUGUUGGUUUUCUAGGCGUGCACAUGUGACAUGAUAAAAUAUUGAAAGUAUGAAGUGAAGGGACAAACCUGUGGGUCAGUGGCUGAGAAUUGUGCAGACAAUGCUGUAUGAAAAACACCUACACAUCCAUCAUCUACAGUAUCGAAAGCUCCUAACAAAUCCACUUUCAACAAAUGAAGCCUUUCUCUUGCUCCAUCUAGUGAGUACGUCUUCUGUUUUCUUUCGAUCAUCUGUGUUUUGCAGAAACAGAAUUAUUGAGGAGGUUUCAAUUGGCAGUUCAGCUAGGCCGAGCGUAGCACCUAAAAUAACAAUAAUAAUUGGAUGCAAAGGAGCUGUUAUUUGCACUCCAAAUAGUCGUCCUGCACUUCCCCUAAUGCUUAGAAAAAGAGCCGGGAGUGAAAUGUAAAUAGGAUGGCAGUUUUAUAUUAUAUGAUAUAAGCAAAGUUGAAAAUACUGACUUGGUUCACGAACAGUGCCUUUGACGGUAUAUCCCUUCUGCAGUAAUUAAGAGCUUCACGAGCCAUGAUGUUAUGUAACCAGAUGCUCCUGUUACAGAAUCUUUGUUUCUCCAAAUAUUAUGAUGGCGAUGUUAACCAAAUAGUUUCGAGCAAAUGAGGUUUGAUUGUCACUUGUGGAGUGCUCAUAAUUUGCAGCAAAUGCAUUUGACUACAGCUCCCUCGUAACCGAUGAGUGUGUUAGUCCUGUGCUAUUUGCAGUCAUUUCUCGCGACUAUAGUACUUUAAUUUAUUUACUGCGUUAACAUACAUUCUAUUUGUGUUUAGAAAGCCCGUGAGACAUGGCUAGAGUUCUAGUCACCUGCAUUUAUUAUAAGGGAAAAAGAUUAAACACGACCAAAAUAUUUAGAGACCUAGUAACAAGAAGAAAAGCAACUGGAGUGCGAGAGUCAAAGUCGAGAAGGCUCUUCAAGACACCAAUUCAUUGGUUUAACAUACUUUUCAUAAUAAAACUAACGAGUUUAAAUUGUCGCCAAACUAAAGACUACGUUACGUUCUGUUGCUCAUACUUGCAAGCAUCACUAGAGGUUGCAUAUGUGUUCAAUCUUUAUAUAAAAAUUGUAAUUUUUUAUUUAGUGCGAUUUUAAAAUUUACAAAUUACAUAUGACUAACAUGUAGCUGGAAGAUUGAGGCAGUCAAAUCUUGAUGAAGCCCUUCUCCUUGAGGCUUUCAAUAGUGUCCCUAAGACUUGUUUCCAGAGGAAGGAAAGUGAUUCCCAAACCUUUUGCUUUCUCCUGGGACACUUGAUACUUUGAGUCUGACGGAUUGACAGCCUCAGCAAGGGUCAAAGUAGGGUAGAGUUGUCGUAAAAUCUUUAGGGUAUCGAAUCCGUCAACAACGUGGCCAACUAAACAAUAUCUGCCACUAGCUGAAGGAACUUCAAAUUCUUGAAUAUGAGCAGAGGCAACAUCUCUAACGUCUACAAAUGGGUAAUUUAGAAACGGUGUUGGGGUACCUGAGCACAAAGGAGAAACAUCGCAAUCAAUUGCUUGCAUCACAAGUCAAGGACAACUGUUUAAACACAGAGGGGCCGGUUGAAGAUGUUCUACUGGCUAUCAACCCAACAGUAAUUAAGUUGCUGAAAUAUACCACUCAUGACAUUCAGAAGCUGCUCAACGGAGGUCAUAAGAGUUGGAUUUAAGAGUGGACCAAUACACAACCGAGGAUUCAUUGACACCAUAUCGAUUCCAUUUCCUUCAGCAAAUUUCCAGCCAGCCUCCUCGGCUAAUAUUUUUGAGAGCACAUACCAUAUCUGAAAAAAUGAACAAGGAAUUCCAUAUAUAUGAGGUUGCUGUUCAUGAUUCCAAGAUGUUCUUCUUAUAGAAUUAUAUAUUUAUUAUAGAAUUGCAACCUGAUACCUAUCUAACCUAACAAGAUUAGAUUUUGUUCCAACUGACAUUAAAAUAUAACAAAUUAACAGCUAACAAAAUGUGAGACUUGGAGAAAGUUAAUACGGGAACAUUAAUACAUGCCUUGUGCUCCUCACAAAAAAGUUUAUCCGAAUACCAUGUUUCAUCCAAAACCACAUCAGAAGUCAGAGGUGUUCCACUCAUCAUGACUGUAGCAAUUGAAGAUGUUAAAACCACUCUCAUGACACUGCGAAAUUUUGCGCAGGAUUGUAGAACAUUAAGUGUUCCCUUCACUGCAGGGUCAAUUAAUUCGGCCUGAAAUAUGAAGAAUGUAUCAUUCCGGACUUUUGACAUCAAAAGUCUUGAAAGUAUGUUGACUUUCUAUACAUACAAUGAUCCCGCAGAAUGAAUCUAAUUUUCUGGACUAUGCAAAUCAUGAAGUAAAUGGCCAAACCUGAGGGUCAGUAACUGAAAUCAGUACAGGGGAUGCUGUAUGAAAAACACCUUGGCAUCCAUCGACGGCAGCAUCGAAAGCUCCUUCUUCUAAUAAGUCUGCUUUGAACAAAUGAAGUCUUUCUUUUGCCCCGUCUAGUGAGCGCAAGUGUUCUGUUUUCUUUGGAUCCUCUGCAUGCAUAUACAAAACAGAACUGAUUAAAUUUAAGCAUACAAUAAGCAGACAUUAUUGGGACAUAUGAUAAAGGAUUGACUGCUCUGGCUGAGGCUGAAAUGGGCAAUUAAGUUGCCAAAACAUAGAUUAAUAUGUCCUUUGGUACCGGUACUACCAUUUCAAGAAAACCUCCCAAAUUAGUAAUCAACUAGUUUAAUCGUGAGGCGAAAUAUGAACAGCAUGAGAUACUACUUCUGCAAUGUCGCAUGGUACUAGUAUAACUUACUGUGGCGAUCGCUAGCCCAACAGCACCAGCAAUAUAUCAUAAUUUCCACUCAGUUCAUGCCUUAAUUCAAACUAGUUAGGACAAAAAUGGUUAGUUUUCUUUCUAGUUAGGAUUAUUUUUUUAAGAAAUGCUAAGAGUACGUUUAAUAAUAAUAACCAUUUCAGUUUUUAUUUUUCAAUUUUCACUUUUUUUAAUACUGAACACUUGUUCGGUUUUUAAGCUUUUAGAAUUAGUGAGAACCGGAAAUGAAAUGAUUAUCAAACGGCACCUAACUGGAAUUCAAACAAAACCACAGGUAAUUUCGUCUUUUUGGAUAAAUGUUUACAAAAACAGCUAAAGCCUUGCCGUUAACUGGAUUCCAAGAACCACACUUGAUGAAAGAUGAAUCAUAAUAUGACAAACCUAGAUCCUGAAAUUUUCUUCCGGAAAACAAAACUCGGAAUUCGAAAACGAACAAUAUUUAAUGAAGUGUUUGAAACUGACGAUUUAGAUGAUAUCAGCAAGUUAAAAAAUACUGACUUGGAUCACGAACAGUGGCUUUGACAGUAUAACCCUUCUGCAGUAAGAGCUUCACCAGCCAUGAUGCUAUGUAACCAGACGCUCCUGUUACACAUACAGUCUUCCCUUGUCCAGUACUCAUCUCUCUCUCUCUCUCUGGGCCUCUGGCAAUCUCAAAAGCUCACAAUAAGCUUUGGUGGAGGCUGACUCAUCUCUCGAGAUUUUUUAGUGAAUACGGUACGUCAUAUGUCAUUAUACAUGUUGGAACAAAUAUGUUUUUAUUUAAAUAUUUAAAUAUAUUUAAAACAGCCAAUUUAUUUUGGCCUUAUCAAUUAGAUAAGGAGUUAUCUCCUCUUAAAUAUAAAACGUGAGAUUCCUUUUCUAUAUAGAGAAGAUGAGCAUGUUAUUAAGCAUAUUCAAACAGUUUUGUCCGUUUUGCCGUUUUGAUUUGCUACGGUUUUGAAACCCAAUUACUCCCUCAACGUUUCUUUAUUUAUAAUAUAUAUAUAUAUAUAUAUAUAUAUAAGUCUAGUACGUCUCUUGACAGAUACAUAUAUAUAUAUAUAUAUAUAUAUAUAUAUUAUAGUGAUGUAAGUUAGGCGGGACCAGUGGAAUAACAGCAUCGAAGCAUGGUGAGAAAAGCUCAAGAGUGUUGAUACUGUAAACUGGAGAAAUGAAAGGUGGAGAAAGCAACAAAUCGGGAGGGUUGACAUCUAACGUUCUCUCUCGGUUGUUUCUCUCUCUUCUGUUGCGGGAUUAGAGUUAAAGCCAUUGCUCCGAAGCCGACCUUUCUCUUCCAAUCACAAGGAAAUCUGAGAUCUUUUUCGGUUCUUCUCAAUACUGGGAGCAAGCAAAUGUUCGUAGCCUUGUAUUUCAAUUGUUGGGCAUGUGAAGUGUGAAAGCGACGGAGACCAACAGAGAGAGAUUAACCCUCCGUCCUGCUCCUUCUCUCUUGCACGAGACCUGCUCGACGAAAUUCCCCAGAGGCAAAAAGCAAAUUCAAGGCACAGACGAAGAAGAAUAUCGUCUUCAGUUUGAGGUGCCUUGUACCUGCUCGACGAAUUGCUCCAGAGAAUCUCCCCUUUUUUUUUUUUUUUUUUUUUUUUUUUUUUUUUUUUUUUUUUUUUUUUUUUUUUUUUCAGGGCGCCCAAGGUUAUUCUGCGUUCAACCUUGCUCUAUGGUGUUGCAAAACUGAAUUAUCAUGGGCACAAAUAUCUUUUGUCCAUGGGGUUUUCUUGCAGAGACGGUUAUGCCGACAACUAAUAUGCCCCCCGCUCAACCACUUCUGAAGGCUAGGACUUUUGCUUCUGUGGUUUCCACCCCAAUUGAAGACGUCCAUCUCAGCCAACUUCCAACUCCGGUUGUGCGCGGGGACAAAACAUAUGUCAAGAUUAGCGAGGAUCUAUACCAAGAACAGUUGAAGUUGUUUCAAAAUAAUCUCCUUGGGCGUUUGCUCCUAAAAAAGGGUUCUACGCCAAUGAAGACCGGUGCUCUAAAAUCUUGUUUAGAAGAUGCAUGGCGCCCUACUGCACCAUGGAACCUGGUUCCUAUAGGUAAAGGCUAUUUUGAUAUCCAUUUCAAUAAGGAAGAUGAUAUGCGACGGGCAUGGGGUGGCGGUACGUGUACUCUCGCUACUGGUUUAUUCAGGUUAUCAAAAUGGACACCAGAUUUUAAACCAGGUGAUGUUCUCCCUCAAACUCAUGCUCAGGUAUGGAUUAAAAUUUUUGGUUUGAGUCAGGAAUAUUGGCAUCCUAGACACUUGAUGGAAAUUGCGAGAGGGGUUGGCACCCCCUUGCAACUAGAUUCAGCUACAAGGGAAAGGCAAUAUGGUUAUUAUGCACGUAUAUUAGUUGAUGUCAAUCUUGCAGGUGAUUUACCUACAUCUCUUAUGGUUGAAAGAGAAAGUCAUGGCUUCCCGGUUGAGGUGGUUUAUGAAAAUUUACCGCCCAAAUGUAGUCACUGUGGUUUGAUAGGGCACUUGGCUAAUAGUUGCAGACAACUCAAACAGAUGUCGAGAGGUCGCUCUCGUAGCCGGACGCGAAAGGGUGGUAACAUGGGGGACAACAAAACCGGAGAUCACUCUCGCAGUCAACUGCACAUGGAAUAUCGUCCCAAAAUAGAUACAACAAUACCAGUUAAUGUCUUUUGUGGGUCACAUGCCUCUGAACCUCUUCAACAGGUUGAUCAAUUGUUGCCUGCAGGUAUUGAGGCAGUGGAUGAUGGUAAUGAUGAGUCCCUGAACAAAGCUCUUGAACCGGUGGUUGAUGAGGCCUUAGGGACCAUUGCCCAAGCUGUGAAUAACUCUGAAUUUGAAGAGCAUGGUAUUAUUCAAUCCCCUGGGAUUUCUCAUAUUAGCAAUUCUAUGACCGGAUCGCUGUCUCUCCUGAUGGAUCACAUCAUCAGAAUGGUCUUUCUUAUGGUCAGCAUUUGGGCAACACCAAUGUGCCUAAUUUUCUUGGCCCACAUGAUCUCUGUGACGACUCUAGCACUCCUCCUGGCUUUGAUCAGGUCGAGACGGUAGCUCAGAAUAGUCAGCACUUGGGCAACACCGAUGUCCCAAAUAAUUUUGGCAUGCAGGAUCCUCAUGACAACCAUAGCAUUCCCCCUGGUUUUGAACAUGUUGCGACAUUAGCUAAGGAUGUCAUCGAUAUUGUCAAUCACAUAGAAGGCUGUGAUAUGGAUGGUUUUACUCCUGUGCUAUCUAACAGUCAAAAGAAAAAACAAAAGCAGCUUGCCAAUCUUGAUCAACCCUGUGAUAAACCAUAUCCGAGUAGGGUCCGUGGAUUACCGGCUCGUUAUAAAUGAAGGUUCUCUUCUGGAAUAUCCGUGGCAUUGGUAACGAUGACUCUCGGACGGAGCUCUCUAACAUCUGUCGGUUGCAUCACCCGGAUUUGGUUUGCAUUGCGGAGCCCAUGGUGACUUUUAAUUCUAUUUCAGCUGCUUAUUGGGAUUCUUUAAACUUAUCUGCUCUUACUUUUAACUCUAGAGGAACUCUUGCCCCCAACCUUUGGUUACUAACAUCUUCGGCUUGUGCAGACCCUUUAGUUAUUUCUAUAUCUGAUCAACAGGUUACGGUUCGCUGUACUUUUGAUCAUAUCCCAAGCCAGUUCACAUUUGUUUAUGCAAGCACCUCAUCUAUCAAAAGAAGAGACUUGUGGGCUGACUUUAUCUCUCUGCGCCCACAAACACACAAGUUCCAUGGAUGGCUAUUGGCGAUUUCAACGCUAUCCUGGGUGCCCACGAGCAGAUGGGAGGAGGCAGACCGUCCCAAGCUUCAUGUGCUGAGUUUGGUAACAUGUCUGACACUUGUAACUUUACCCACUUGAACACAUCUGGGGCAGCCUUUACAUGGUCUAAUGGCUGGAGGUCUCGUGGUCGCACUGAACGAAGGUUAGAUCGCUCCUUGUGUGAUAUAAGUUGGUUUGAUUCUUGGCCCCACUCUAACUGCAUAGCGUUGCCAAAGGUAGUCUCAGAUCAUAACCCCCUUAUUUUCUCUGGUUCUAGAGUUUUGCGCAAUGGUCAUCGUCCUUUCCGUUUUCAAUCAAUGUGGGUUCAACAUCCAUCUUUUCGAGAAACUGUAACUCAUUGCUGGAGCAAUACAGUUGUCUAUGGUUGUCCUAUGUUUAUCAUUCUGCAAAAAUUGAAAGCUCUAAAAACCUGCCUGCGCCAAUGGAAUUUUUCGGUUUUUGGUGAUGUUCAUAAUAGAGUGGCUAAUGCUCGGCAUAAUCUUUCUAUGAUUCAACAAAGAAUUUCAGUUGAGGGUAUAAAUAAUGAUCUUUUCGAGGAGGAGAUUGUUGCCAAGACUACAGUAAUGGAGUCUCUUCAAAUGCAAGAGGCAUUUUGGAAAGAUAGAGCUCGUGUUAAGUGGUUAACUAAAGGGGAUAGAAAUUCUUCUUUCUUUCAUGCUUAUGCUCGUAUUAAAUCAUCCAGCUCUCAUAUCAGUUGUAUUCUUGAUGGUAAUAAUCUUCUUACCGACCCGCUGGCUAUUGAGAACCAUAUUGUUAAUUUCUAUCAGACUGUGUUCGGCUCUUCUUUCAACCCUUCAGGUAUUGAUGAGGUUUGUGAGGUCAUCCAGCCGAUGGUCACAGACUCUGAAAAUGAUCUCUUAUCUGCAUUACCUACUGAUGAGGAAAUUAAGGAGGCAGUUUUCUCAUUAAGUGCUUCCAGUGCGCCAGGGCCAGAUGGUUUUCCAGGUUUUUUCUAUCAUCACUGUUGGGAUAUUGUCAGCUUUGAUGUCAUUCAAUUUGUGAAGCAAUUCUUUCAAUCAAAUUGGCUAUACCCCAAUACCAAUAGUAACUUCUUAGUUUUGAUACCGAAGGUGGAAGACGCUAUUUCCAUGACUCAUUUUAGACCUAUUGCUUUGGCAAACUUUCUCUUUAAGAUUAUUCCCAAAAUUUUGGCAGUUCGCCUUUCUCAUGUUGUUCAACGCAUUAUUUCUCCACAUCAAGCUGCUUUCAUACCUGGCCGACGUAUCACUGAUUGUAUUGGCCUAGUUUCAGAAUGUUUCAAUGUGCUUGACAAAAAAACUCGUGGUGGCAAUAUGGGAGUCAAAGUUGAUAUAGCUAAGGCUUUUGAUACUUUAGAUUGGUCAUUUCUAUUGCGGGUGCUUACUAACUUUGGGUUCUCCACUUGUUUUAUAGACUGGAUUUCUACCAUCUUACGAUCUGCUAAAUUGUCCAUCCUAAUCAAUGGUUCCCCGCAUGGUUUUUUCUCUUGUUCACGAGGAGUGCGCCAAGGGGAUCCUCUCUCUCCGUUACUUUUCUGUCUAGCUGAGGAGGCUUUAUCAAGGGGCUUGAGUCGUCUUCAACUUGAUGGGCUUACUAAGCCAACUUUUGCUCCAAGAGGUUGUAUCUCUCCUUCUCACGUUCUCUAUGCAGAUGACUUAUUCAUUUUCUGUAGAAGUGAUGGUGUCACCCUGCGUAACUUGCAAGGUUUCUUCGAUAGAUAUAGUAGAGCCUCUGGUCAAUUUAUCAAUAAGGCAAAAAGUACUUUCUACUUGGGCUCUACCUCAAGGCAUCGCAAAGCUGUGGUUGAGAGUUACUUGGGUUUCAAAGAAGGCAAAGCACCUUUUGUCUACCUUGGAGUUCCAAUCUUCUGUGGCAAGCCUAAAAGGAGUCAUCUUCAAGCCUUGGCAGAUAAAGCUAAAGCUAAGUUAACUGGUUGGAAGGGGAAACUUUUAUCUAUGGCAGGAAGAGUUCAACUCACUCAAUCAGUUUUUCAAAGUAUGCUCUUGCAUAGCUUUUCUGUUUAUAAGUGGCCUUCUUCCUUGCUAAGGUCUCUUUCACGAUGUGCUCGCAAUUUUAUAUGGUCUGGUGACGUAACCUCCAAGAAGUUGGUUACCGUUUCUUGGCAUCAGAUAUGUGCUCCGAAGAAUGAAGGUGGUUUGGGUUUGCGUGAUCUUGGCUCUCUUAACACUACAGCUCUCUUAAAGCUUGGAUGGCUUAUUAUUACUACUGAUUCCCCUUGGAGUAUUUAUAUUCGGAAACGUUUCAAGCUUCAUGGUCGCCUAUACUCUUGUAGUUAUAUGCGAUCUUCUAUAUGGCCUGGUAUUAAAUCCAUUCUUCAUAUCUUGUUUCAGAAUUGUCGUUGGGUGAUUGGAAAUGGUUCUACUACUUCCCUUUGGGUUGAUAAAUGGCUGGAUAAGCCUAUUGUGGAUGUCGUUGGUGCAACAGAGAUUGCCCCUUCUCUAUCUCGUACUAAGGUCUCAAAUAUUAUUCGUAUGGGACAAUGGGUUAUUCCUUCUAUCUUUUCUUCUACUUUCCCAGACCUAACUAAAGAGAUUUUAGAAAUGCCUCUUCCAAUUGAUGAGGAUAAGGACGUUUUAAUUUGGGAAGCUUCUACUUCUGGUGGUUUUUCUUUUUCCGAUGGCUAUGAAAUUGUUCGUCAUCGGUUUCCUGUCAAGAGUUGGGCUUCCAUUAUCUGGCGUCCUUUCAUCCCACCUCGUUACUCUAUUUUAGUUUGGAAGAUUCUUUUCAACAAGCUCCCAACGGAGGAUCAACUUCAGCGCCGAGGCAUCCCGCUGGCUCCAAUAUGCCAACUAUGUCACAAGAAUUCUGAAUCUAUUGACCACUUAUUUUCUAGCUGUGACUUUUGCACAAUGUGCUUGGCGUUGGCUAGCUACCCAAUUUGGCACUAUUAUUCAACCUAUGGGCUCCCUCUCUGAUCUAUGGCUUGAUUUUCUGUCAAAGCGGUUCUCUCCACAUCUUCGCAAUGUUUGGCUAGCUUCAGGGUUUUUCUUACUCAUGGCUAUUUGGAAGAUGCGUAAUAAAGUGAAGUUUGAAGGCAAACCUCCCUCAUUCUCACGUCUCUGCCACUCCACCUCGGCCUGGAUUAGGCAGGUUGGAGCUCUCACCCCUGGCCAUGUACGAGGCACUUUGGAUCGGCAACUUUUAGUCUCUCUUGGAAUAUCGCCUAACCCCUGUAAAGCUCCUUCUAUUGUCCCUGUUCUUUGGCACCCCCCUCCUUCUUCUUGGGUCAAAGUGAAUACUGAUGGCCUUGCUAAAGGUAAUCCGGGUCCUGCGGCAUGUGGCGGGGUUUUUCGAGAUUCUGCGGGUUAUUUUCUUGGUGGUUUCUCCCUAAGCUUGGGCCAUCGUACUUCUUUCUAUGCGGAGCUCCAUGCUGUCAUCCUUGCUGUCGAAUUGGCCCACGCGCGAGGCUGGCAAAAUUUAUGGCUUGAAAGCGACUCUUCGAGUGUAAUAUCAUGUUUUGCUUCUGGAUCUUUCUCUCCCCCUUGGUCGCUCCAGACACGCUGGAACAAUUGUACUCUCCUUUUGCAGAACAUGGUUUUUCGUUGCUCUCAUAUUUUUCGAGAAGGGAAUGCUGUUGCUGACAAAUUAGCCAAUUUAGGGCUUCUAUCAUCUUCACUUGUCUGGCAUUCCACUCCCCCAAUUGAGAUCCUCCCUCCUCUGCACUCAGAUUUCUUGGGCAUGCCAACCUACAGGUUUGUCUCCUCUUCUUGAUGUGUUUUCUCCUUUCUUUUCCUAACCUUUUUGGAUUCCCUUUUGUUUUGCAGUUUGUUUUGCAGGUUAUUACCUUUUAAGGUUUAUAGAGGGGUUUGGGCUUAUGUCCGCCUAGUCUUUUCCUUGUAUUUUCUUUUCCAAGAGGGGUACGGUCUAUGUCCCCCCCUCUUUUUCCGGCAUUUCCUUUCUCAAAAGGGGUAAGGUGCAUGUCCCCCCCUUUUUCUUUUGUAUUUCUUUUCUCUUGUUCUAUGAGGGGUUAGGUUUAUGUCCCCCCCUGUCUAGGUGUAACUUCUUUUUUCUUAUCAUUAAAAUUCCCUCGUACCGCCGAGGUUCUCCAAAAAAAAAAAAAAAAAAAAAAAAAAAAAAAAAAAAAAAAAAAAAAAAAAAAAGUUAGGCGAUGGUAAAGCAGAAAGUAGAUGAAGAAUUUUUUUUAAUAUAUUGAUUUAAAAAGCAACAUAUCGAAAAUGUGUAAGUUCGAAGGUUCUUUCGGUGUGCAAGGAAGAACUUUAUCAGAAGAAAGGUUAUGGGCUGUUUUAUCCUGGGGACGACGUGGUGUUUGUGAACUGCUUGCACACUUUGGGCAGAGCCGCGAAACGUCUUAAAGAGAGCGACUUAGUCCGCGACUCAUCCCAAGAAUCAUUCACCACUCAAAGGCUUUUACAUUUUCUCAGGUAACUUCGUUCCUUAUUAUUUUCAGUUUACAACAAUUUUAAGACGAAUCAAUCUGCCAUGGAAUCUGAAAAAUAUUUGUAUUGCUGUUAGUGUUACUCUUUAAGAACUUUGUUUUAGAUAUGUGGCAAAUCAUUGUGAUUAUAUAAUCUAAUAUCAAGUUACUAGUAUGUCAACUGUGAAUGCUUUUUGAGCUGCCUAGGUGCAUUCGCUGUAGGACGAGUGAAUUGACUUGGUGAAUGAAUCUAUUUGUGAUCUUUUUGCAAUGUGUGUUGAUAUUAUCAGUAGUCUUUUGAUGGAGAUGACUAGGUGGCUGCUGUGAUUUGUUUAAAUCUGUUUUGUGUACCAUUGUAAGCUUAUUCUUUGAUGUAAUCAUAUGUCAAAGUUCUCAUGUUUACAAUUCAAAAAAAAAAAAAAAAAAAAAAAAACAUGAAAAAUGGCGAUUUGUUUUCGGUUCUAGAAUGAACAGAUAUUUGUGGUAACCGAGUUGAUCUGAGCUUUAUUUGAAAUUGAUCUGUAAAUCAUGCCUUCUACUAACCGAAUUGUUUCUGGCAUAUCAUAUUUAUUCAUGGGGAUAUGCUACUAAUGGAAUGUUUAAAUUGAAUGUUGAUAAAAUGUCAUAAUUGAGUCACUUGAUGUGAUGCUCAGGUCAAUUAUGUCUUUUGGAUGGUUAAGGAAUAAGUUAUAAAUAUCAUAUUUUUAUUUUCUCUCCUCUUUCCUCUUUAUUUUUUUUUUUGGUACAAGUUUUUAUUCAUUCUUUUAUCUUGCUUGGUUCUAGCUCUGAUUUCUGGUUGAGGGCUAUUUUUUUUGGUUUGGGGAAAGUGCUUUUAUGUGUUUUUUUUAUCCACCCUCAGUGGAUAGAUGUACCCAAAACCCUCUUCAAGAUCAAGGUUUUUCUUUCUGAUUCUUUAUUUGAUUCUUGGAAUUGAAUAUAAAGAUUAGUUUUUUUUAGAUACCUAUUAUCUUAAUUUUCAAUUGAUUUCCAUUUGUGUGUAAAAAUCUUGAUGCUGAUUUUUAUGAGAAUAAAUUUCCUUUUAAUCUUCGAAAUAGUGGGGGUUCUAAUUCUUCUAAAAUUUAUGAACCUACUGUCAGAUACCCCUUGAUGGGAGAAGAAGCAGGAUGGUUGAGAUACCCCUUUAUGGGAGAAGAAGCAAGAUGGUUGAAAAACCUACUGUCAGAUACCCCUUUAUGGGAGAAAACGAUUCCAGUCGUAUACGGUCUGAAGAAAAUUUAGUUGAUCCUUUCACGAAAGGACUAACAUGAGAAAAAGUUUGGAAAAAUCCUUUGACGAAAGGACUAACAUGAGAAAAAGUUUGGAAAACCUCGAAAGGGAUGGGACUAAAGCCCGUAGAAAAUUGAGUCAUUUGAGAUAGCAACCCAACCUAUAGACUGGAGAUCCCAAGAAAUAGGUUCAAAGGGUAAUAACAAGUCACAAGUGAUAUGAGUGAAGUCUUGCUAAUUUUAAUUUGGAAUAUUAUUCCAUGUCCAUCCCUAAGAAGCAUGACAUCCUGAAGCGUUUUUAGGUUGAGAUUUUUUCUCUUAAUAAGGUCUAUACUCUAUGUUGAGUGAGAUAUCAAGCUACAGGAAUAUCCUUGAUAGUCUUACCUAUGUGAAUGUGGAAGUGAGGCCGCUUCCUAUGAAAUCUUGGGCAAGUUUCUAGAGCGUUCACUAUACUGGGAUACAAGCACAUGGCCGUAAUGUGCUGGCUUUUUAAACUUCACCUUAAUAAAGUUAUGUGUGUGGUGUUGUCAGAGAUAGAGUUCAAAACUAUAAGUUACUCUAGUAUAAUCUGGAUCACUAACACUAUGUACAGGUUCAAGUUGAGAAACACCUUUACUUAUGCAUAGCUUUAUGAUAUGUUGCUUGAUAUAUAGUUUUUUAAAUAAAAACAAGUGGGGGAUUGUUGGAACAAAUAUGUUUUUAUUUAAAUAUUUAAAUAUAUUUAAAACAGCCAAUUUAUUUUGGCCUUAUCAAUUAGAUAAGGAGUUAUCUCCUCUUAAAUAUAAAAUGUGAGAUUCCUUUUCUAUAUAGAGAAGAUGAUCAUGUUAUUAAGCAUAUUCAAACAGUUUUGUCUGUUUUGCCGUUUUGAUUUGCUACGGUUUUGAAACCCAAUUACUCCCUCAACGUUUCUUUAUUUAUAAUAUAUAUAUAUAUAUAUAUAUAUAUAAGUCUAGUACGUCUCUUGACAGAUACAUAUAUAUAUAUAUAUAUAUAUAUAUAUAUAUAUUAUAGUGAUGUAUGUUAGGCGAUGGUAAAGCAGAAAGUAGAUGAAGAAUUUUUUUUAAUAUAUUGAUUUAAAAAGCAACAUAUCGAAAAGGUGUAAGUUCGAAGGUUCUUUCGGUGUGCAAGGAAGAACUUUAUCAGAAGAAAGGUUCUGGGCUGUUUUAUCCUGGGGACGACGUGGUAUUUGUGAACUUCUUGCACACUUUGGGCAGAGCCGCGAAACGUCUUAAAGAGAGCGCUUAGUCCGCGACUCAUCCCAAGAAUUAUUCACCACUCAAUGGCUUUUACAUUUUCUCAGGUAACUUCGUUCCUUAUUAUUUUCAGUUUACAACAAUACAAGUAGAAGUUAGGUGCAGGGAAUUUUUUUUUUUUUCUUUUUCAAGUGUCCCUGCAUUUGUAUAAUAAUAUAUGACGUAUGUGCCUAUUGUUGAAGUUAAGAACUCAGAGAGGGAAAUUCAUUUAGAGAGAGAAAGAGAGAUGUAGAGAGAGAGUGAAAAAUGUAAUUGUAAUUCUCAUUAAUCAAUUGAAUAAUACACAUGGUAUUUAUACAUAAAUAUCCUAUCCCAAUAUAUGUGCCAGCUCAGCAUAAAGUAUAUAACUAAUCACAAACAUUCCAAGCAUAACAACCUAGUGAAAGAAUCUAAUCUGGUGGAGGUUGGGAUGCAUUGCUGCUGCGUGCCAAGCGUCAUGAUCGGAGGGUUGGAGAGGGCACUCUGAGGAAGAUUUGCUGGAGAAUUAGGGUUUGCAGGAGGUGGAGAAGGAGAAUCCGAAGAGGAUGCUGCCGCCGACAUAGCAAGAGGGGCUAAAUUGAGAAGGAAAAAGAAGAGAUCAGAGAAGUAGGGAUCUGUUUGGAAGAUCAGAAAAUGCAAGAACAGCAAGAAAAUUGCUAGAAGAGGGAAGCGCCGGAUCGGAGUCGGUUAGACGAUGGUGAUGAUACCAUGUUGAAGUUAAGAACUCAGAGAGGGAAAUUCAUUUAGAGAGAGAAAGAGAGAUGUAGAGAGAGAGUGAAAAAUGUAAUUGUAAUUCUCAUUAAUCAAUUGAAUAAUACACAUGGUAUUUAUACAUAAAUAUCCUAUCCCAAUAUAUGUGUCAGCUCAGCAUAAAGUAUAUAACUAAUCACAAACAUUCCAAGCAUAACAACCUAGUGAAAGAAUCUAAUCUGGUGGAGGUUGGGAUGCAUUGCUGCUGUGUGAGAUUAUACUCUUAACACCUGUGUCCCAGACGCAUUGAAAAAUCUAUCCAUGCUCUCAUCCUCCACCAUUCAUUUGAGGUAACAGGAAAGCAAUCUCCAAGUAUUUUUUAUUUCAUUUGUAAGCAAUCUGUUAGUUUCUUAAGCCUCUAAUCAAGGCGCAGUUUAAUAUAAAUUGAUUAAAACUAAUUUUUAUUCAAUUAAUACUUAAAAUCUUGACUUUCACUAAGAAAUAUCCAAGUCCUUAGCGUUGAAGGCAUGGAAAAGAAUCAAGACUUAGCUAGUAGCCUAGUACCCCACUCAUUGCACCAUUUCUUGAUUAGAAGUUCAAUAACGAUUGGUGCAAACAGUUUAAAUUUGUUUCAUUUUAAGUUUACAUAUAUUUUCUGUUUGGUACACCUAACAUUCCAAGUUCCAACAACACAACUUGGAACUUCUCCUGGCCUCCCAUUGGCUUUGGCAGGAACCUCUGAGUACAAGGGACUCCCCUCCUUUUGGGGCAUCAGUAAAUUGGUAGCUCUCUGUACCUUUUGAGAUUGUUAGAAAUAUGUUUGCCCAAGACAAGAGAAGGGAACGAAUAAAAACUGGUUUUAAUCAUUCCAUUAAUCACGAGAAAAAAGUGUAAACUUAGCAACUGAAAAGUAAGUAUGAGCAAAUACAAAUGUUGUAUAUGAAGAUACGUACACGUGAAAAGUGAAUGAACACAGGACAAAAGGCAAGAUAGAGGCAUCUCAGACAAGAAAUCUGUCAUAUCGAGCUAGAGAUAUGGGUAACGGGUUAAGAUGUGUGGUUUUCCACCAGAAUGAUGAUACUCAGUUGGGAAAAUGCGUCAACUGGUAAUCAUACUAUACAGAUUAUCAAAAGAGUAAACCAGAGGUGUAUUUGCCUAGUUUGGAUCUAGUGUUCUUAAGCUUUGAGGAAAAUGAAUUCGAUUGAAAAUUCAAUUAUCAAUUUUUUGCGAUGGUUGAAGGUCCUGAACUGUAAGAGUGCAUCCGGCGUGUUGUGUGACCGUCGUAGGCCACUGAAGCUCAAGGGAAAAUUUUAUAGGACGGCAAUAAGGCCAGCGAUGUUGUAUGGCACAGAAUGUUGGGCGGUGAAGCAUCAACACGUACACAAAAUGGGUGUAGCGGAGAUGAGGAUGCUUCGUGGGAUGUGUGGGCACACGAGAAGGAUAAGAUUGGGAAUGAGGAUAUCCGAGGUAAAGUAGGAGUAGCCGAAAUUGAAGGAAAGAUGAGAGAAAAUCGAUUCCGGUGGUUUGGACAUGUGCAAAGAAGGCCGACUGACGCUCCGGUUUGAAGAUGUGACUACGGGACAGAUGUUCAGGGCCGAAGGGGUAGAGGAAGACCUAGGAAAACUUUGGAAGAGACCCUAAGAAAAGACUUAGAGUACUUGGAUCUAACGGAAGACAUGACACAAAACCGAGCGCAAUGGCGUUCUAGGAUUCAUAGGCCGACCCUACUUAGUGGGAAAAGGCUUUGUUGUUGUUGUUGUUGUUGUUGAAGGUCCUGAACUACAUCUAGCUUAUAAAGUCAGAGAAAUCUGCCGUCCUUCAAGAGAGUGACUAAGGACAAUUUGAACAUUUAGAUUGGACCAGCUCUGUGUUAUCGCCGGAAGUUCAUAAGAAUUGACAGUUGUGCAUUCGAACAAAGGCAUGUUGCAUAGGCACUUGUGGCCUGAUGUCUUCAAGGGAGGACACAUUGAAGAACGACGAUAUUGGGGAAAGAAAUCUUAAUUUUCAAAAUUAAGAUUCCUUCGAAGACAAUAAAGUAAAACAAUUUCAACUUGAACUUUUUUAUUUAGAGUUAUUUUGAAACAUUACAAAUUACACAUGAACCAUAGACAAAGAUCUAAAAGCAAUUUCAACAGGAAAAAUAUUGUUGAGUUUUGGUUUCAAUAUUUGUUGUAUAUUUCAUUAUGAAGAUUACAAGAGAGUGAAGGCAACUCUUAUAGAGAGCCAAAAGAAAGCUACAAUAGAUUGUAGGAUAACUACACAAACACAAUCCCUAAAAUCUGCCAUAACAAGUGGAAAAGCAAAAACCAAAUUACAAGAAGAAGUUUUUACAAGCAACUAAGAAAGGUUGAUGUAAGGUGAAUGACAAGCUAUGGAAAGUGAUUGGUGAAUGACAAGCUAUGGAGAAAGGUUGAUGUAAGGUGAAUAACAAGCAUGGAGAAAGGUUGAUGUAAGGUGAAUGACAAGCUAUGGUAAGGAUGACAACUCAUACAUACAACCCAUUUAUACUUUCAAUACACCCUCUCAAGCUGGAUCAAGGGGAUUGAUUGAUCCAAGCUUCCACAACAAACGCUGAAACUGAGUAGAGUGUAGUGCUUUUGUGAAUAAAUCAGCAAGUUGAUCGUGGCUGCGUGUGAACACGGUGUCUAUCACCUUGGAUUGAACUUGAGCACGAAUUAAUGGCAGUCAACUUCAAUAUGUUUGAUCCUUUCAUGGAAUACUGGAUUGGAGGCAAUAUGCAUGGCAGCUUGGUUAUCACAAUACAAGGACAUAGGUGUCAUGCUUGUGAAUCCGAGCUCGAAAAGAAGACCUUUCAACCAUAUGAGUUCACAGGCUGUUGCUGCCACAGCCCUAUACUCAGCUUCGACACUAGAUCUAGCAAUAACAGUUUGUUUCUUGCUCUUCCAAGUGACAAGGUUCCCUCUAACAAAUGUGCAAAAACCUGUUGUGGAUUUUCGAUCAAGGGCAUUUCCAGCCCAGUCAGCAUCUGUGUAGGCCAAGAUGUGAUUUAAUCCAUUGUUCUUCAUAAUUAUCCCCCUUCCUAUUGAGCCAUUGAGAUAUCGAAGUAUUCUCUUGAUGAUUUCCCAGUGAACUAGAGUAGGAGAGUGCAUGAACUGGCUGACUAGGCUAACUGAAUAUGAGAUAUCAGGCCUAGUAAUGGUGAGAUAAAUAAGUUUCCUAACCAUUCGCUGAUAAACACUAAGGUCCGAAAGAGGUUCACCUUUUUCAUGUCACUGAAGUUUGCUAGCUAGGGGUGUCCGAGCUGGUUUACAUACCAUCAUGUUAGCUUCAUCUAGAAGAUCGAGAACAUACUUUCUUUGAUUCAAGAACAAUCCCUUUUAAGAGGUAGCUACCUCAAUUCCACGAAAGUAUUUCAAGGGCCCCAAGUCUUUAAUGGCAAAUUUUUGGUGAAGUGACUGCUUAAGCAUCUUGAUUUCACUUAUAUUGUCACCUGUAAUAAUUAGGUCGUCAACAUAUAUAAGCACAACCAAUUUGCCAGUAAUACUACUUCGAACAAACAAAGAAGAGUCAGCAUGACUCAUUUUGAACCCUGUAGCUUCAAGGACUGAACUAAGCUUUGAAUACCAAGCUCGAGGGGACUGUUUGAGACCAUAUAUGGCUUUGUGAAGUCUGCAGACCUUGUUGGGUUCAUUUUCUCUUGAAUGACCAGGAGGUAACUUCAUGUACACUUCUUCUUCAAGAUCCUUAUGAAGAAAUGCAUUCUUCACAUCCAUUUGGAAUAAGGGCCAUGCAUUAUUGACUGCCACAGACAACAAUACCCUCACUGUGUUCAUUUUGGCAACAGGAGCAAAGGUAUCCUUAUAGUCAAUGCCAUAGGUUUGAGUAAAGCCUUGAGCUACUAAUCGUGCCUUGUGUCUUACAAUGCUUCCAUUGGAGUUGAAUUUGGUCUUAUAUAUCCACUUACUUCCCACGACCUUCUUGCCAUUUGGAAGAUCCACCAUACUCCAUGUCUGGUUGUCAUUCAGAGUUUGAAGCUCUUUAGUCAUAGCAUCUUGCCACUCAGGCAUGCAUGUGGCUUCAUGAAAAUUCCUUGGUUCGAAAGUGUGGGACAAUUUGUUAAGGAAAAAAGUAUGAGAAGAUGAAAAUCUGUGAUAAAAAAUGGCCGCAGAGAUAGGAUGCCUUGCAGUGUAAGUAACAUACUCUUGUAACCUUACUGGUGGAUGUCUAUCUCGUGUAGGAUUUCUUCUUGGUGCACUUAUAGCUUGCUGAUUUGGUUGAGCUUCUGAUGGUCCAGAUGAGCUUGGCACUGCAUCAAUUACACUCUCAGUGAGUUGAGAAUUAUCAGUGUUGAUAUGAGCAGGAGUGACUUCAUGAAUUUCUGCUGGAAUAGGUAGUGGAAAUAGGUCCAUAAGAUCUUCCAUAUUUGCAUUAGUCUCCAACCCUUUGUGGAAAUAAGGUGAAUAUUCAUCAAAUCGCACUUCUCUAGAGACUGUGAGCUUCCCCUUGUUAGGGUUGUACACUUUGUAACCUUUUUGAGAACUGGCGUAUCCCAUAAACACACAUUUGGUAGCUCGAGGGUCGAGUUUGUCACGAUGGAGAGCUUGAAUGUGCACAUAACAAGUACAACCAAAGGUCCUGAGGUGAGACAAGUUUAUAGGCCUGCCCUUCAUGACUUCAAAAGGAGAUUUAGUAUUCAACACCCGAGUUGGCAGUCUAUUAAUGAUGUAUGUGGCAGUGAGUAGGGCUUGAGACCAAAAUUUCUUAGGAACAUUCAUUUGGAUCAUAAGUGAUCGAGUCUUCUUCAAUAAGUCUCGAUUCUUUCUCUCUGCCAGACCAUUUUGUUGUGGUGUACCAACACAGCUAGUUUGAUGCAAAAUGCCAUGAUUGCUCAAGUAAUUACUCAUGUUAUUGGAAGUGUACUCGGUACCAUUAUCUGAUCUUAACAUAUAUAACUUAGAUGAAAAUUGAUUGGUGAUUAGGUUGUGAAAGUCCUUAAAAACAUCAAACAAAUCACUUUUAAGUUUUAAAAGAUACAACCAGGUUACUCUGGAAUAGUCAUCAAUAAAUGUAACAUAAUAUCUAUACCCAUCAAAGGAUUCUACACAAGAAGGACCCAAAAUAUCAGAGUGAACAAGCUCAAAAAGUUUUCUAGUUCUAGAAUUAGAGGAAACAAAAGGAAGUCUAGUGGCCUUUGACAUUUGACAAGUUUCACACUCCAAUGUGUUUUUACAAAAAAAGGGAAACAACUUGGUCAUCACAUGUUCUGAGGGAUGGGCAAGGCGUUGAUGCUAGAGUUGGUGUUCCUGAACUUGACUUAAGUUGACACUGAGCUUUUUGAGAGAUAGUAGAGUCCAUUCAAGAAGAACCUGACACGCUCCGACCCUGAUAUUACCCGAAUACCAGGAUAGGCACAUGUUGGCCGACACCCGAGGGUGACGAAAGCCAUUAAUUGAUACAAAAGCUAGGAAUAAGAAAUAAAUACGGGUUAUGAAUUACAAAAAAAACAAUGAAUUAACAAAACGUGUUCAGAGCAUACAGCUAAACCUAGUCACUAACAAGAAUUAAGAUAAGAUUGAAUGAACAAAGGAGUGGGUCCUACCCCGAGAGAACUCGAAGAUGUCGCUGCGGAAGUACCUUGAUGCCGGGAUUAUGUGCCUUGAUCCUAAGUCCUGAAUGGGGGCGCAAAACAAGGGUGAGUGGACCAAGCUUGUAUAUAUACAUAAUACAAAAACAGUUAUGAACAUACUAACCCCCACAGUUUAUAUAAUGAAAACUACUAGCAUAAUAAGUGAUAGCUUUUCUGAAACCUCUAGCAUGCCAUAAAACAAUUCAUAUAUCUAUCUGCAAAUCAAUCUCAGAAAAUCAUAUCAUAAAUCAUAUCAGGAAGCAUAACACAAGUUGUGAUGCUAGUGAGUGCACUGAAUAAUAAUACUCCCAGCCCAAUGCCUGCACCUCAGUCUCUGUGCCCGUAGCCAGAGAUAUCUCCCUCCCGACCCAAUGCCUAUCUCCGUGUCCCUCAGCCUUUCGCUAGGGAUUAUAUCUCCCAGCCUCAAUGCUAACACCAGAUCCUCGCCCCAGGCGGCAUAGUGUUCACUAGGUACGCACAAAACAUAAUACAUCUCUAAAAUACAACUUCGUAGCAUAAAUUCAUCGAUCCUCUAUACUACGAAGAGGUGUUCAGAAAUCAUUUGAAACGCAUUCUUAGCAUCCUAUCAUCAUCGAUCAGAUAGUCUACCAGAAUGAGGGUUAUAUAGAAAAUAUGAUAUAAUGAAAAUAGUUUAAAAUAUUUAUAUAUUAAUCAUAAUUAAAUCAUCAUGCUUCCUGUAAAGUAUUCCUCAAAUCAAUAAUUCUGCAAGACAUGCUAUUAAAUUAUGCAAUUCUAUAAAUAAAACAUGCAAUUUUGAAGGUGGUCCACUCACAGAUACUUCGAAGCAGCAGAAUUGUGCGGAAAAUGAUUAAGUAAGUCUCCACUACUUCACCUAAGCACGAAAAUGUACAAUUUAAUAAACUACCCAAAAGAUAGAAUUUUAGGAAAUGGAAAUGGGUUUUGGGUUGAGUGGGUUAGGGUCUAAUAGGUGAGAAAAAGGGGUUUGGGCUUAAGCCUAAACCCAUAUUCACAUGCACUGCACACCCACACACAGCAUGCAUAAGCAUGCACUACACACACACACACGGCAUGCAUAAGCAUGCACAGUACACAUACAACACACACACACACACAGAGUCUCACGUCACAUACACAUACACAGCAUACACAACCCACGCCUACACACGCACACACGCAACACACCAUAUACGUGCACACACAUGCAUGCACACCGUACAUUCACACACAUACACACGGUACACACUCACAUCCACAACACACAUACUCACAUCCACAACACACAUACAUACACUCACACGACUCACGCACACACCCACAACACGUACACGCACGGCCCAACAUCCUACACCAACAUACACACACCUGCAUAGCAUGCACGGCAUGCACACACAUACAUAUAUAAUCACACACCUACACACAGUUCACACACCACUUGCACGGUAUGCACAGCAUGCACACACAUACAUAUAUAAUCACACACCUACACACACAGUUCACACACCCACUUGCACAACAUAUACAACAUGCAUAUACAUAUGCACGGACACACAUACACAUAUGCACUGCACCGCACAUGCACAUAUGUAUUGCACCACACAUGCACAUACAUAUACAUAUAUAAACACACACACACCGCAUGCACAUGCACAACAUAUACAUACACAUGCACAUGCACCUGCACACACACACACACUCACAGUACCACCAACAAAUAGCAAGGUAAAAUAACUACCUGGGUUUAGGUUCGAAGGGAUCCGUGCAAUCCACAGCAACAAACUCGCCGGAGUUCGUUGUCGGAACCGGGUUCUGGGCAUAGAGAAGAGAUAAGGUCAAAACCAUCGAUUUUGACCAUAAAACCAACACAACAGUGUGUGAUUAAACCCAGAAAUUUGAAGAAGGAACACACUUCUCACCUGGGUUCGAGUUUUAGAGCUUUAAAGCUAUCGGCUUCAAUGGCAGAAAAGUCCACAAUGCUCUGAUGGCGCAUGCAAGGGUACCAUUGAGUUCGUUAGGUCUCAAGGAUUCCAAAUAUAUAAAUUUUAGGCUUGAUUUGUUAUUGAUUCGAAGGGAAGAGGGGUUGGGAGUUCUCGGAGCUUAGAGAGUUAGAGAGAGUGAGAAGAAGAAACUGAAAAAAAAAAAAAAGAGAGAGAGUUCUGAGAUGAGUUUCGGAAAGAGAGGGAAGAAGAGAGAGAGACUAGAAACAAAGAUAUAAAAAUAAUGCGGGUCCCACGGUUCCAAUUAAAAACUAAAGAAGUCAUUUUAAUAAGUAGAAAGUGGGUGUGGUUGUAACAGAACCUUUCACCAAUCUUCUUCUGAGUAACUCGGUCCUGAAACACAACAUUGUGAGGGAAAAAUAUGGCAAGACAGUCUAAGGUUUUUGUGAUUUUUCCUAUUGACAAAAGCUGAAAAGGAAAAGAAGGUACAUAAAGAGCAGUGGAAUCAGUAUGCUCACUUAGCAAUCUAAUCUUUCCUUUCCCUAGAAUAGUUUCCAUUUUCCCAUUUGCAACAUAUACAUGAAUUGGAUCAAUAGUUCUUUGAAAAUCGUGGAGACUAGAGGGUUUAUUAGUUAUAUGAUCAGUGGCACCAGAGUCAAUAAUCCAAAAAUCAUGUGUAACAUUUGCAUUAAGAGCAGUGGAAAUGGCACUGAAAUACCUAGAAUAUUGCCUUUCGAUGUGUUCUCCAAGUCAGCCAAGAAUCCAGCAAAUUUCCCUAGCAUUGCGUAGGGUUUUUAGGUGUCAUUUCAUCAGGUUCAGUGCUUCCUUGCUUCUUUUGAAGAAAAACAGCAAACUCGUUGAUCAAGGACAUAGGAUUUGUUGAGAAAUUGGUCAUCCCAUCAGUUGAGGAACAAGCUGAAUGAAAUGCUUUUGGAGUGACUCCACCCUUCCCAUCUUUGAUCAUCCUGCCUUCCCUAUCAAACUUAGGCUUUAACUCCGGAUGAAGAAUCCAACAUUUUUCUCUUAAAUGUCCCUUCAUGUUGCAAUAAGAACAUUUCCAGUCUGCUUUCUUGCCAAGCACCCUAUCACCAGUUGCUUUGUGAUUUGUCGUGAAAACCCUAGCUUCAGAGUUUGAUUUAGGCUCAACGUUCAUCACUCUUCGUCGAGUUUCCUCUCUUUGGACUGCAUGACACACAUUGGUAAAAGAGGGCAGCUCUUGAGUCAUUAACAAGUGACUACGCAAGUCUUCAUACUCCGCUCCCAAGCUUGCUAAAAGUUGAAACACCUAGUCUUCAUCAGCCCUUUUGAGUAGCACAGCGGAAUCAGUCGUGUGUGGACGAUACAUAUCGAGUUCAUUCCACAUGGAUUUCAUACUUCCAAGGUGUUGAACAAAGGAGUGAUCACCUUGCUUUAAACUAGCCACACUCUUCUUCAGUUGAAAGAUGCGAACUGAGUUGUUUUGGCUGCCAUACAUAUCUUUGACAGACUCUCAUAGGAGAAGGGAAGACUUUGAGUAGCUGAAAAGCUCAGACAGUUUUGGCUCCAUGGAGUUAAGUAACCAGGACAUGACCAGCUGAUCAGUAGCAUGCCAUGCAUCGUAAGUUGGUGAAGUGGAUUCUGGGGGCUCAGAGCUUCCAUUAAUAAACCCUAGCUUCGAUCUUCCUCCUAGAGCAAGUGACACAGCUCUUGACCAAGGAAGGUAGUUGAACUCGUUCAGUAGCACCGAGCAGAGUCGUUGAUUUGGAUUGUUCUCAACCCCUUAGGUUAAGUUUGGGGAAGAGGAUGAGGCACUAUCGGCACUAGACACAUUUUCUUCUGCCAUCUCUAUCGAUGAUGAGCAAAUGAAGAAGUAAAAAAAAUAAACAGAGUCAGGACCCUAUGGUUCCUGCUCUGAUACCAUGUUGAGUUUUGGUUUCAAUAUUUGUUGUAUAUUUCAUUAUGAAGAUUACAAAAGAGUGAAGGCAACUCUUAUAGAGAGCCAAAAGAAAGCUACAAUAGAUUGUAGGAUAACUACACAAACACAAUCCCUAAAAUCUGCCAUAACAAGUGGAAAAGCAAAAACCAAAUUACAAGUAAAGAAGUUUUUACAAGCAACUAAGAAAGGUUGAUGUAAGGUGAAUGAUAAGCUAUGGAAAGUGAUUGGUGAAUGACAAGCUAUGGAGAAAUGUUGAUGUAAGGUGAAUGACAAGCAUGGAGAAAGGUUGAUGUAAGGUGAAUGACAAGCUAUGGUGAGGAUGACAACUCAUACAUACAACCCAUUUAUACUUUCAAUAAAUAUAACGUCCAGCAUCUCUUUGGAAUACUCAAGCAUAAAACAAACUUCAUUUCCCAAUUAUUUGAUCGCCUCGUGCACUAAAUUAAGAAAUUGCUGCAGGUUGCAGAAUUCAAAACUUGAGGAAGCCCUUCUCCUUGAGACUUUCAACAGUGUCCUUGAGACUUGUUUCCAGAGGAAGGAAAGUGAUUCCCAAACCUUUUGCUUUCUCCCUGGACACUUGAAACUUCGAGUCAGAAGGAUUGCCAAGC